UCUAGUCUGACUUUGUGAAAUGACUUGAGAGGUGUAGAAUAAGUGGGAAUAUUUUACAGCACAAAUGAAAUACCACUACUUUAAACAUUAUUUUACUUAUAAUUCUAUGGGGUGGAGACAGAGCAAUUACCCUAUUUUUGGUCUUAAGUCACGUUUCAAUGGGUCAAUCUAGGCGAAAGAAAUUGUCAGGUGGGGA
rnacentral:ncRNA from 1 species